GCAUCCUCAAAAUUGGAAAAGAUUGGAUAUGUGGAGUCGGAAAACAAUAGCCAAGCAUCUGAAACUAAGCCCGCCAAAGAGGCCAUCGACUUCAAGGAACUUAAGCGAGUUGAUCACAUCCUUGCUUCUCUACAGCGGAAGCUUCCUGCAGUACCUCUGCCUCCACCUUUACCAGAAGGCUAUGCACCCCCUUCCACUUCAGAACCCUCUGAAAACCAGCAACCAGAGACUCAGCCGCCUCCAAUUGAUCCUAUUAUUGAUCAAGGCCCGUCUAAGAGAAUGAAGGUAUGAGAAGGGAGUGGUGUGUCAACUGUUGCAUAGGAGCAAGAACUUAGACAAGGUUGUCUGAAGUAAAAAUGGUAAGUCUGAAGUUACUGAUAAUUGCAUAAUUUCUCAUCUUUUCUGUCUCCAUCAGGAAGUUUGACAAUGUACAUCAAGC
rnacentral:misc_RNA from 1 species